AGCGGGAUGGUGUAACGGUAACAUGCAAGGCUCAUUACCUCGCGCUCCGGGUUCGAUUCCCGGUCCCGCAAC
rnacentral:tRNA from 1 species